AUUACCGAGUUUACAACUCCCAAACCCAAUGUGAACGUUACCAAACUGUUGCCUCGGCGGGAUCUCUGCCCCGGGUGCGUCGCAGCCCCGGACCAAGGCGCCCGCCGGAGGACCAACCUAAAACUCUUAUUGUAUACCCCCUCGCGGGUUUUUUUAUAAUCUGAGCCUUCUCGGCGCCUCUCGUAGGCGUUUCGAAAAUGAAUCAAAACUUUCAACAACGGAUCUCUUGGUUCUGGCAUCGAUGAAGAACGCAGCGAAAUGCGAUAAGUAAUGUGAAUUGCAGAAUUCAGUGAAUCAUCGAAUCUUUGAACGCACAUUGCGCCCGCCAGUAUUCUGGCGGGCAUGCCUGUCCGAGCGUCAUUUCAACCCUCGAACCCCUCCGGGGGGUCGGCGUUGGGGAUCGGCCCUCCCUUAGCGGGUGGCCGUCUCCGAAAUACAGUGGCGGUCUCGCCGCAGCCUCUCCUGCGCAGUAGUUUGCACACUCGCAUCGGGAGCGCGGCGCGUCCACAGCCGUUAAACACCCAACUUCUGAAAUGUUGACCUCGGAUCAGGUAGGAAUACCCGCUGAACUUAAGCAUAUCAAUAAGCGGAGGAAAAGAAACCAACAGGGAUUGCCCCAGUAACGGCGAGUGAAGCGGCAACAGCUCAAAUUUGAAAUCUGGCCCCUAGGGUCCGAGUUGUAAUUUGUAGAGGAUGCUUUUGGUGAGGUGCCGCCCGAGUUCCCUGGAACGGGACGCCACAGAGGGUGAGAGCCCCGUCUGGCUGGCCGCCGAGCCUCUGUAAAGCUCCUUCGACGAGUCGAGUAGUUUGGGAAUGCUGCUCAAAAUGGGAGGUAUAUGUCUUCUAAAGCUAAAUAUUGGCCAGAGACCGAUAGCGCACAAGUAGAGUGAUCGAAAGAUGAAAAGCACCUUGAAAAGAGGGUUAAAUAGUACGUGAAAUUGUUGAAAGGGAAGCGCUUGUGACCAGACUUGGGCGCGGCGGAUCAUCCGGGGUUCUCUCCGGUGCACUUCGCCGCGUCUAGGCCAGCAUCAGUUCGUCGCGGGGGAAAAAGGCUUCGGGAACGUGGCUCCUCCGGGAGUGUUAUAGCCCGUUGCAUAAUACCCUGCGGUGGACUGAG
rnacentral:rRNA from 1 species